GACGGGGGGGCAAGUGUUCUUCGGAAUGACUGGGCGUAAAGGGCACGGUAGGCGGUGAAUCGGGUUGAAAGUGGAAAGUCGCCAAAAAGUGGCGGAAUGCUCUCGAAACCGAAUUCACUUGAGUGAGACAGAUGGAGAGUGGAAUUUCGUGUGUAGGGGUGGAAAUCCGUAGAUCUCGAAGGAACGGCCAAAAGCGAAGGCAGCUCUCUGGGUCC
rnacentral:rRNA from 1 species